UCAUGCCAAUGGCACUUCCCGGUAGCUAAAUGCUGAAGAGAUAAUUGCUGAAAGCAUCUAAGCACGAAACUUGCCCCGAGUUGAGUUCUCCCUGAGACUUUAAGUCUCCUGAAGGAACGUUGAAGACGACGACGUUGAUAGGCCGGGUGUGUAAGCGCAGCGAUGCGUUGAGCUAACCGGUACUAAUGAACCGUGAGGCUUAACCUU
rnacentral:rRNA from 1 species